rnacentral:rRNA from 1 species
UGGGGAAUAUUGGACAAUGGGCGCAAGCCUGAUCCAGCCAUGCCGCGUGAGUGAUGAAGGCCCUAGGGUUGUAAAGCUCUUUCACCGGGGAAGAUAAUGACGGUAACCGGAGAAGAAGCCCCGGCUAACUUCGUGCCAGCAGCCGCGGUAAUACGAAGGGGGCUAGCGUUGUUCGGAUUUACUGGGCGUAAAGCGCACGUAGGCGGACUUUUAAGUCAGGGGUGAAAUCCCGGGGCUCAACCCCGGAACUGCCUUUGAUACUGGAAGUCUUGAGUAUGGUAGAGGUGAGUGGAAGUCCGAGUGUAGAGGUGAAAUUCGUAGAUAUUCGGAGGAACACCAGUGGCGAAGGCGGCUCACUGGACCAUUACUGACGCUGAGGUGCGAAAGCGUGGAGAGCAAACAGG